AGAAACGAAAGGUGGCGAGUGAUGUUAAAUAGAUGGAAGCGGGAGAUGAGAUGGACGGUUUAGAUUUGUUGUGGAGAGAGUUUGGUGGAUCUGGUGAAAGAAUUUGACUUUGCAUCUUUUUUUAGAUUUUCCGAAAAGGGUGGUUAUUCUGUUUUCGAUUUCACUUGAGAAAACAAAUGUUUUUUUGUCACAACGAAUAUUAUUAAGUAGCAGAAACACUAUGUUAGAAAUCCUAUAUGCUCUAGUUAAUGUACAUAUAUUAUAAUUUAUUAAUAUAUAUAAAUAAUUAUAUACUAUAAUAUAUAAUAAAUAAUAUAUUUACUCUUACAUACUAUAUUUAAAUUAUAUAUAUAAUUUUCUAAAAUUAUCAUUUAAAUUUUAUAUUCUACUAAAUCAUAUUUAAUUUAAUAUAUAAUAAAUAAUAGAUUUACUCUUACAUACUAUAUUUAUAUUAUAUAUAUAUAAUUUUCUAAAAUUUAAAUUUUAUAUUUUACUAAAUUAUAUUUAAUUUAAAAUAUAAUUUUAAAAUAAUAAUAAUAAUAAUGCUUACUAAAAUCUCAAUUAAUAAAGACAUAAAUUUUUGUAUUAUUUCUAUUUCAAAAUAAUUGAUUAACAGUUAAUUAAGAUACUUGUUUUAUAAUAAUUUGUGUUUAAACCUUAAUAAAAAAAUUACCAUAGAAUAUCUAAUUUAACCUUAAAAAAUAUAAUUUCAUUUAAAAUAUAUAUAUCUAAUUUAAUCUCAACGUUAAGGAAAUUUUUGUUAAAUUUUAUUUGAUUUUAUCAUUUUAUAUAAAAAUUAUUAAACGACAUUUGUUAUGAAGCAAAAAGAGUAUUAGAGAAACUUUAUUGGUAAAUGUAUGUCAACUUAAGAUCUAAAUUUAAUAAUAAUAAUAAUAAUAAUAAUAAUAAUAAUAAUAAUAAUAAUAAUAAUAAUAAUAAUAGCAACAUUUCAAUAAAAUUUACUUAUUUGAUCAAAAUUUAAUAUUUUUUAAAUAUUUAAACCACUUUUGUAUGAACACAUGUAAAGAGGAAUUCAAUGAAUAUUUUAAAAUAUGAGACUUAGUUUGUGUGGGAGUUGCAAAUACUCUUGAUUUUACCCUACUUCUUUCUUAAUUUUUUUUAUAUGUUAGUUGGAGAUAACGAAUGGAUAUAUAGUACAAUGGAACUGCUCUUGAAGGAAAAAAAAAGUUAAAUAUCCAAAGAUCACAUCACCAACAAACACAAAUGGGCCAUCAAACAAUAAAGGGGAAAAAAAAUCAAAAUCUACUUGCCAUGUAUUUUCGUUGUACGGAUUUUUAAAAUGAUUCUUAACUUAUUUUAGUAAUUUUUUUUAAAUAGUUACUUCUAUUUUAUUUUAAUCUUAUUAUCAUAAAAGUUUAAACAAAGUUCAAAGUUCAAACAAUAUGGAAUGACACGAUAUCGACACAACUGACCACGGCGUCUAUUUUCGUAGCAGUAUACAUUCUUAUUCUAUUUUUUUCUCUAAAAUAGAGUAAACGUGAAUAUGAAAUAAGUUAAGCUUCAACUAAACUCCAUAUCUCAUUUCAUAAUGAAAUUUAUUCCAUAAAUUAAAUAAUCUAUUUUUUAUUUAUUCAUCACUCUAUUAUGGAUAUUAUGGAGUAGAAAAUGAAAUAAAGUUAGAGUAAUUUUACUUUGUUUUCACUUUUAAUUUAUUUAAAAAAAAAUAAAGUUUUACAUUAGAGAUAUUUUAAGAGCGGACAGCCACGCAUUAUUAACCCCCUCCAUAAUUGGCAUUCCCAGAAUAACUUGGGCAUUUCGUGGUUUGGUGAGAACAGUCCCAAUCUCAGCUACCACAUUCACAAAACUUUCUUUUAAACGUGAUUAUGCUCUACACUAACUACAUAUUUAAAUACUUUUUGUAGUUAAUAUUCUUCGCCUUUUUCUUGUUGAAUCUCAAAUUGUUUGCUGUUCAGUGCAGCACUUUUCUAUAUAUGUUUUAAUAUUUUCAAACUAAGAUAUCAUAUAUUUUGAAAUGUAUUGCAUUUUAUAAAAAGGUGAUAAAAAUAAUACAACAAUGUAUGCUCUCAUGGCGACUGAUCAAGACCAAAUAAACACAAGAUCAAUCAGUUGUAGCAGCCUUCCAUGAUGUUGCAGAGGUGAUCUUACUAUUAACUGUGAGAAGUUUUAUAAUUACAUAUUUCAAAAUUACACAUAUAGUUUUACUGAUUCAAACAUUGAUUUUUACCAUUUAUAAAUAACCAUUACCUUCCACUGCAUAAAUGGAUCAUGUCCUGUUACUUGGCAUUAUCAAAGUGAAACUGGUCUUUAAAAAUGAUCUAAUGUCACAUACUUGGUAUCAUCAUAAAAAUUGAAAACAAGACUUCGAGGCUGAUACA